rnacentral:misc_RNA from 1 species
GUCAGGCACCGGCGGCAUCAGCAGGCAAUCGGCGCCGGCAAGAACGGCGCGCACCGCCGCUUCCCCUGGAGCGAAUCGAACCGUGAUCCCGCCCAUGUCCAUCGCGUCGGUAAUCACCAGUCCCUGAAAACCAAGGUCCUUGCGCAGCAGGUCCGUAAGAAUAUGCGAAGAAAGUGUCGCGGGCGUGUUGGAGUCCGGCUCGAGCGCCGGCACGUUCAGGUGGCCCGUCAUGAUGCUCUCUACGCCGGCGGCAAUCGCGGCGCGGAAGGGAACAAGCUCCAGCGAUUCGAGGCGCUGGCGGUUCGCUUGAAUCACCG